GAUAAACUGAAAUAUGAAAGACUCAUGAAUUGACUCCAAAAGAGGAAUCUGGGUUCAACUAAAGUACUGUGAUAUUGUGGGCAGCUCUGGAGUAUUAGUGACCCCUCCAACUGAACUUUUCUACUUCUGUGUCACUCAGCUAUUGACUAUGGAACACUCUGAUAGGGCGACAACUUCCUAAGAAUCCAGCAUUCUUGUUUGGAAGAUGAUUGGAUUAUGAAGGUGGUAUAGUGGAUUUACUGCGAAGACCUGGGGUCUAAUCAGAAGAGACGGUCACUGAGAUAAGACCGGAAGGUACAUCUCCCUUCCUGGUUCCUCCUUCCUCUCUGCAUCCUGGUGGCCCGGCUGUGAGUAGCUUUCCUCUGCAGUGCUGUUCUGUCCUGGGGCCACAGACCAUGAACUAUGCAGUUUUCACACCUAUUAUUGUAUCCUGUGUGCUAUGGAAAACCAGCAGGAUGGCAUGCUGAGGCUUUCCAUCACAAAGAGCAAUUAAAAUACUGCAGUCAGGUACAAGAAGGGGUGAGUUCAGAGGAUGAAGACUGACUGCUGAAGGCUGAAGGAUCCUGUCAAGACAACAACCAUGAUGCUGGCUUACUAAAAACUGGCCAGAGACUCACUAUAGGAAUAGAAGAAUCCCCCAACGCACAGUUAAUCAAAUGACAGCUGGUAUAUGGCACUAUGUCAAUAGCCCUAUCUACAAAGUGAACUGGAGUACUAUAUUUAAAUGAUCUUUAUUGGCUCAUUCAUUAUUUGGAUGGUCCCGUGUUUACCAUGUCUUCCCAGAUAGCCAAGAAAAUACUGUAAGAAAUGGAAUGAGGCUCAGCAAAAUUGUAGUUCAUUAUUCUAGUCUACCAGACUUAGCAGAGUUCUGAGUUGCUCUAAAAAGCAUGUACUUUUUGUUUAGCUGUGGUUCAAAUGCUCAAAAACAAGGAAGACAAAAUUGGAAGGCACUGGAGAAUCAUGGGAAUAGUAGGUGGAAGAAGAGCAGAGUAUAUGGCUUAUGGCUGGAUACUUGAUAUACUGUUUUCUUUCUCUUUGGUUUGCAGAAGGAACUUUGUUAUAAACAAGUGUAUCAGAAUACAUAGUAACCCACUUGGACUGUAAUUGGUAUGUGUUAUUGAAUUUGAGCAUUUUUUGCUACAGUAAAAAGAGCAAAAUUGUCUUUUGUUCGUGCCUUCUGCUUUCCUUCUUUUUCUUUUCUGUCUUCUUCCCCUUCUAUUCUAACCAUUUUGCUUUUAAAAAGAAUUCUUUGAGCUGUGCUACCUAAUGUGCUUAGUCCAGAGCAAAACACAGUCAGACCUCAGUUUUGUGUGUAGAACUGUACGGAGAGGGGAUUCAGCCAAAAGUUAGAAUGGGCUACAAUGUGCCACAGAGUGGGAGCCUCUCAUUUACUACACAAUAGGAAAUCGUUCAAAAUUUUAUCUAUGUGUUAUUAUAUUAGAUCAGAUUUUAUAAUUUUCAUCCUUGGAAGAAACUUAGAAUUAUGUAAUUGAUGCUGCUUUAGCUUACAGAGCACUUUGUCGUAUUUACUAAUAACAAGUGCCGUAUGUAAUGUGACAAGGGCAUUCCUUCCUGCUUCCGGAUUACCCUCAUGUCCGCGCAUCCCGCAUCCUGAAGCUCUCCUUGGAGUUGUUAACCAUGGUAGAGUUAUAAAAGACUAUAGCAAGUAGACUUUGCUGUCAGUGAUUUACUAACAAAUCAUUUUAAAUUUUAUUGCAAUGUUAGAAGGAAUUGUUGCUGAGGGUAUAAUUAGCUGAUUGGAUACUCUUUGAGGUUACAGAGAAUCAAAAGUUUGAUGGAAAAGGCACGAACUUUGCAGCCAACUGGAUCACAUUCUGAAUUUUCUGUGGGACCCUGAACAAGCCUAUGUUACCUGAAUGUCAGGGGUUGUUUUUUCUUUAAGUGUAAAGUUGAGGGACAUUGUGGUGAUUAAAUGAAACAAACUUUGUAAAGCAAUUAGUUGUGACAAAGGUGGUGUUUUGUUUGUGAUAAUGAGCUGGUGGCAAUGACAAUGAUCCUGGGAUUAUGGUGACCACGAUGAUGGUAAGCACUGCAGUCUGGCUUCUGAGGGACAGAACGGGAUCAGUGAUUAAAAUCACAAAACCAGGAGCUACAGUAGUUGAGUUCAAAUCCUUUCUCUUUUACUCACUAAAUGUAUGGUCUUGAGCAAGGACAUAGUUAUCUUUGUUUCUAGCAAGAUACUCCAACAUUAAGUUCCCUGUCUCCCCCAAAUGAGACUUAGCUGGAAAUAAUCAAUCUUAAAAACUGCCGGUCCUAAUCAGCCUAUC